UACCCGCAGCUCAAGUGGUGGUCAUUAUUAUUGGGCCUAAAGCGUCCGUAGCUGGCUUGUUAGAUGCCUGGGUAAAUCGAUGCGCUCAACGCAUCGACUUCCGGGUAGACCGGCAAGCUUGGGACCGGGAGAGGUGUAGGCUACUCGAGGGGUAGGGGUAAAAUCCUGUAAUCCUUCGGGGAGGACCAGUGGCGAAGGCGCUACACUAGAACGGCUCCGACAGUGAGGGACGAAGCCCUGGGGCGCAAACCGG
rnacentral:rRNA from 1 species